rnacentral:rRNA from 1 species
GACGAACGCUGGCGGCGUGCUUAACACAUGCAAGUCGAACGGAAAGGCCCUGCUUUUGUGGGGUGCUCGAGUGGCGAACGGGUGAGUAACACGUGAGUAACCUGCCCUUGACUUUGGGAUAACUUCAGGAAACUGGGGCUAAUACCGGAUAGGAGCUCCUGCUGCAUGGUGGGGGUUGGAAAGAUUCGGCGGUUGGGGAUGGACUCGCGGCUUAUCAGCUUGUUGGUGGGGUAGUGGCUUACCAAGGCUUUGACGGGUAGCCGGCCUGAGAGGGUGACCGGCCACAUUGGGACUGAGAUACGGCCCAGAAUCCUACGGGAGGCAGCAGUGGGGAAUAUUGCACAAUGGGCGGAAGCCUGAUGCAGCAACGCCGCGUGCGGGAUGACGGCCUUCGGGGUGUAAACCGCUUUCGCCUGUGACGAAGCGUGAGUGACGGUAAUGGGUAAAGAAGCACCGGCUAACUACGUG